AUAUGGAUUAAAAAAAAAAUUGGGUUUUUCAUUUUUGUAUGGUUAGGAUGAAAUGGAUGGUGGGGAUUGAGUGGACCACCCACACCUAAAACUCCCUGUUCUCUCUCUCCCUCUCCCCGUAUCACUCUCUCUCUCCUCCCUCACGAUUCUUCCUCUCUCUCACCCACAUCGUACGGACGGCAACCAAAACCACCCAAAACUUCGUGGAUCGAAGCAAAUAAGGGAAUUCUAAGCUUAUAGUGAGCUUAGUGAGGUCCUAAGGAAGCUCGGGGACGUUCGUUUGGAAGUUUUGGACGUCGGGAUCAUCGAGUUCGACGUUGGCCGGUUUUGCUUGAAUUUUUCCGGCGGCGAUCGUCAUGACGCCUUGAUGUGUGGUGCUAGGGAGUUGUUGGACGAACUUCAGGUGAGUGGGCAGUUUUGUUUUCCGUAUAUAUAUAUAUAUACUUGACGUUUUCCCAGAAAUUGAAAUUGAAUGAAAGUAUACUUUAAAUGCAAUGUAUAAAUUAUAUGAAAAGUAUGUUUUCAAAUGCCAUGCGUAGAUUCAUAUGAAAAAUGUGAUUUGAAAUGCCAUGCAUAGAAAUGAUAUAAAAAGUAUAUAGAAAUGUGAAUCGAAUUGCCAUGCAUGAAAUGAUAUGAAAAGUAUGAAUUGAGAUAUGAUGCAUAUGUAUGAAUUGGUGCUGUGGACGCACAGGUGAGUAUCAGGUGAGUAUUUUUACUGCUAUGAUGAUGUUGAGAUAUAUUGAGCUCAUAACCUGCACCUUGGUAUUAGUGCUUAUUAUUAUGCACCGCAUCGCACGCUCACCUUGGAUCCAAGUAGAUGCUAGUCGUACAGACCACUAGAGGUGGUUCCGACAUGCCAGUUGUAUAGACCAUUAGAGGGGUUCCGACUGGUAGGUGACCUUAGAUUA